rnacentral:lncRNA from 1 species
GCUCCUUGUUUUCUUCCUUGGCAGCUUUCGAGCUAAUCGUUACAUUCAUUAGGUUGUGCGGCUAUAGCCGCAAAGUAAAAGUAUCGUCAAUAAUUUUCUUCUCUGGAUUGUCAAAAACCCGGAUAACACGCGUCAGGACCAUCACUUCAGGCAACCGUAGCGUUAAAUGAGUUAUUCAUGGCGCUUGAAGUUUGUGACAGCUCGGUUGCACCACCCAUCACAAGCGCAGCUGCUCAGCGAGCACCUUCGACGCAACAGCCAGGAAAAAUUGCGCCAGUUGCCUGCCCACGAUCAACUUAAGCCAACUCUGUACACACAUUCAUGCCCAGAACAACACGCGCAGGUGCUUAGACGGAGCGCUUGUUGGCCGGCUGCCAGUCGCGGGCGCUCUUGGGGCGCUGCACCAGGAAGCCCAUGAUCUGCACCUGCUUCACGUUGUCGAAGGCCACCAGGCGCACGUAGGCGUCCGGGAAGGCCUUGGUGCAGGCAACAAUCUCGCGCAGCACCUGCAUCGGGUCGCGGCAGCCGAACAUGGGCAGCUUCCACAUCGUCCAGUAGCGGUUGUCGUAGUACAGCUGCGGGGGAGGGGGAGAUGGCAGAGGGAAAAGAACGACAGGAUUGUCAGUUUGGUCAGCAAGUAAGACAUUUCAGUCAAAAACAGAGCGACCCAAAAACAUUGCUGGGCACAAACGUCUCGUAACCCUUAACUUACGCAGGAGACUGGGCCGAAGCGAACGGUCGACUCGUUCGACACGUAGGCCUUGUCGGCCUCAGCGAACUCAAGGCAAGGAAUCCAGCCUGGGAAAUGGGGAAAUGUUAUAGUAAAAAUCUUUCGGAGACGAUGACGUUGUACGAGAACAAUUUACGCUUGCAUAGCAUCCAACCCCAUCCUGAGAUAGCAUUGGAACGAGAGAAAAAGCGGGUCAAGAUCAUACCAUUAGCAACGAUGUAGUCGACCUGAGCAGCGAUCUGCUCGUCGGUCAGAGGGGGCAGGUAGGAAAAGGUCUCGAACAUCCUGCAAUGCAAAUCCAAUCACUCAAAAUUAUAAAGGUUAGGUAGAUUAUUGAACAACUCAAAGGAUUCACAAAAUAUCAAAUCACAGCCAUAAGCAACAAUGUACAGCGACUCACUUGUUGUUCACCGGCGUCCAGACCAUCAUCUUGUUGGCCUGGGCCGGAGAAGCCACAGGAGCUGCCUUAAUAGCCGGCUUGAGGACGGCGACCGGGCGCACGCUGCUGCGAGCUGGGCGCACCACAGCGGUGGCCACAGAUGACUUAGCAACAAUAGCGGCCAUUUUCCUCCUUAGUGAGAAGUAUGCGAUGACUGAGCUGGUGAGAAUGAGACUACUUCUGUCAACUUCAGUGCCGUUGCUGCCUUUUGUACCAAGGGGGCUACACCUGUACCACGAUAAACUGUACGACAAAAGGGAACGGUAGCCAGGAGUUCCAAAGAGGGUUAAAUGAAUGUUAUAUAAGCUAGUAAGUAUUAAAUUUCUGUGCAAAGGAUAGAUGCCCAAGUCUUGGAUGAGGCGAACUCGGCCGCAUGUACGAUAUGGCUGACACAUGUGUCAGCUGAAUUCUGAGCGUUUGAAAGGUUCUAACGCCAGAAUUUUACACAAGGAAUGUUAUGCGAUGCAAAAUUCGAAAGGAUGGCUUGGGCUCCGGGGUGAAAUAUUAAACCUGAGGGCUUAGGUAGCCGUUUCCCAGGUUUGUUCCAUCUUGCAGUCUCAUGGUGCACCGCGCUGUCAAAAGGUAUUAAGGGUAGUUCCGCCCGCAUCGAAAAUUUCGAAAUCGAGAUAUCAACAUUGUGUUUCCAUCUUGCCUUGUAAGCCCCCUGCCGUGGGGCCUCGAAGACGCAGGUCCCGAAAGGAUAUUAUGCCUUCAGAGGUUUGGGGGACGUUUAAAAUGAUUCUGGGUCGCUGGUUAAUAGUACCGGCCCCUCCGCAUGGCAGACGCCUUGACGAACGGCAUGAGAGGACUUCCAACAUAUUACGCGUCUGUGAUAUGCCGUGCCAAAAUCCUUGCCGCAACGCCAAUCAAUACCCUUCCAGGCCACGCGUGGACCUUUAGUGGCCUUCGACAGGGGGUUAUGACCUAGAACUGCAAUAAUACGUGGCUCUAGGCAACUUGGUUUGGUGGUUUGGUUUGGUGGCUUUAGCGCUGGGGUAGAGGCGAGGCCGAGGGAGCUAGUUGCGUACGAGUGCCCACCGGAGAUCGGGUGCCAGCCACGAUUUCUAACGGCUACCUUGCCUCGACAUUGGCUGCGAGCGAUCCUUAUGUGGUUCUCAAUCUCGCAGAUAAAUCUUUUUAGUUUAGCGGGACAGGGCAGGUCACAGGAUGACGAUGGGAGCUAAGUGAAUGGCUUGUCGCUCCGGCGACCACCACCCUGAGGACGGCUUCCUGCCGGUCGUUCCCGUUCGUUGAGCAGUGCGUCGCGGCCUCCCCCUGCGAACUGGACUAGGCCACAGUGAUACAUUAAGGUUGGGAUUCCUGUAGAUCCGUUUCUAGCUUGUUGCCCAGAUCCAGAAGGCGCUAAUAGGACAGCGUCAACCUGCUGUAAAAAUCGCUUAAAGCUUAAGUUGAUACCAUACAACACCAACCAGGGACACCAACGCAUAGCCAUUAACGUAGGAAAGUGAGGCAAAGCUGAAAGCAUUACAGCGGCUUCCCGGGAACGUACACUUGCCGAGCCUUGCCUACAUCGGGUCUCGCCUUGUGAGCAGCUAAGCUUAUACCACGCCAUUCGCGGUUCAUUGCCUGGGUCGCUUACUCUCCGUAGCCUGCUGGUAGGGGGAUAAGCAGAGUUAUGUGGCUUGCAAAGCUGCGCUGGACGAACUUGCUCCUGCGGGACAUUCCUGCCGCGUGGCUAGAAGCAGCACGACUGGCUAACCCCUUGACACAAGGUGUGCGACUGCAGCUGCCGCUCGAGGACAACGAUACUGAGCUUCGAAUCACUUAGUUGGUGUGGAAGCUUCCCAACAAUAGCAAGGUGGCGCUGAGGAAAUGGUGGCGUACGGAUGUGCACAUGUACGGACGCGACGGCUGAGGUGGACUGUCUGUCUGUGAAACAGGGGGGUAUAUCUUCACCAGUGGCAGCUACCCUGCGAAACCCUGCCUUCCCCGGUAUUUCGGGACAUCCUCAUCCAGUCACCCUAGUCAACUUCUCAGUGGAUCGCUCAGGUUCCGCACCCACCACCAGCAUCCAACGGAAUCAGCCGGGCCGUCAGCAGCCCAACUCCAUUCCUGGUCGGCGCGCAGGUUAACUCUAUCCCAGAUCACCACCGUCCAACAACUAGGGGCGCAAUACAUUCUACCAGCGGACGGAUUUAUGACCCUGAAAGAACUCGAUCCCGGAAUCUCCCGGGGGCAAUGGUCGCGCGUUACCAGUAGAGCCUAACCUAUGAAUGGAAUGUCUGUAUGUCGCAGAUUCCUGGGGGUUGGGAGCAGAUGUGGAGGAGGUGCAGCUCGACGCCAUGCUGUAAGGGCAUGACAAAUCAAUGGUCGUCAACACUGAGCGCCUGAACGGCUUCCAGUUGACAGUUUUCCCGUCAGAUCCUUAACACAUGAACGGUGUGACCAUUCCCACAGGGGGAACGCUGGUAGGUGGCAUAGAUGAGUUUAUCUUAGCCCCAAAUCGCGGCCGUGCCUAAUGGCCUAGAGAAUCCAAUUAUACUUGCUGGAUGGGAGACAGAUGGGAAACACUCGUUGCUAAUUGCUAUCCAAGCCGCGCUAAGGGAUCUUGGUACCUUAUUGGCUUUGGCACCUCUCUGCACCUCCUAUGCAGCUUUUGUGGGCGGGCAGCGCGGGUAAUUCUGCCGGAUCCAUCCCAACUUGAUUCAUUACAUGUAUUUACGAGCACAAAAGUCGAGUAUUAAUCAAUAGUCAAUAUUCACUAAAUUCUUCCAAUGAGCUGACCUUCAUGUAAACCGAACGGCCAGCACCGCCCUUCCUGCUAUCUGCUCCGAGAGGGCAAAACAUACAUAAGAACUGCGCUGACCAUACGAAACUGUCGAGCGACAUCCAAAAUACCAAGGUAAGCCAUCUAUGUCGCCAUCUAAUCGGGUCGAGGCAUUUAAUCUUCUCUGAACAUCAUUAAGAGAAGAUGUAUCUCCUAACAGGCAGCCCGAAGCAUAUGUCAUUAUUAGCGGAUGGAAUUUUUCCUAAUGAAUGGUUCACUACGAACAGCUGCUGAGCCAGCAUCCCUUGAUGCAACAGCAGGGAAAAAUUGCACAGGACAUGCUGGCAUAAAACCAUGCGAGCGCAUCCACACUCCCGAGGCGAUUAGCAACACGCGCAGCUGCUUAGACGGAGCGCUUGUUGGCCGGCUGCCAGUCGCGGGCGCUCUUGGGGCGCUGCACCAG